rnacentral:antisense_RNA from 1 species
AGUUACACUCUGUUGAUUCAAAAGAAGGUUGUUUGUCCAAGCUUGUCCAAGUCAGUUUCAAGAGGCUCAGCCACCAAAAGGUUCAUCAAAGGGGAAGCCAAGGUCAUCAGUAAAACCUCACAAGAGCUACCUGGAAUGGGCAGGAAAGAAAAAUGCAGAUAAGAAAAUUAAAACCACAGACUCCUGGGCGGCGAACAAGAGCCUUCUGAUCCUAAUUCGAUCUGGAGUUAAGAAUGAAGGGGAUUUCUGUAGCAGUUUCUUUUGCAUAGCAGAGCUCCGACUUUUCCAGCAACAGCGUGUCCCUGGAAGUUACACAAAGUUGUCUUUGAUUGCCUGUGAUCAAAGCCACGAAGGCUCUCCUGCAACAUCUUAGCUUCAGAAAGCCAGGAAAAUCAGAAUGCUGAGAGUAUAUUAAUAAUUCCUAAACACAUUUUUAAGGUUCUUCAAGCCUGUCUCAGAGCUAUCAAGGAUGCAGCAAAAGGGAUGCCUUUGAUCUGCUGUCUCUGGAUGCACAAGGAGCUCAGAGAAACAACCAGGACACAGAACAAAACAAAGCAUGGAGCUCUAAUUUAGGGGUUUCAGCUAAGGGAGUCACUCAGCACCAGCACUGUGCAGGAGUUCUUACAGCUUCCUUUAUGAGAAAGAUUUGUUCUUCUGUUUAUAGGGUAUCAGAGCCAGGAAGGUGGCUGACUCUGAUGAUAGAACAAGAACCAAAUAUGCUCCUGCUGCUCCAGUAGAGUGGUCUUCAGGUGAUCGAGAUUCUGAGC